rnacentral:rRNA from 1 species
UACGGAGGGGGCGAGCGUUGUUCGGAAUCAUUGGGCGUAAAGGGCGCGUAGGCGGCCUGAUCAAGUCGGAUGUGAAAUCCCUCGGCUCAACCGAGGAACUGCACCCGAUACUGGUUGGCUAGAGUCCGGGAGGGGGUAGCGGAAUUCCCAGUGUAGCGGUGAAAUGCGUAGAUAUUGGGAAGAACACCGGUGGCGAAGGCGGCUACCUGGACCGGUACUGACGCUGAGGCGCGAAAGCCAGGGGAGCGAAUGGG